UAUCUAUGAUGAUCCUGUCCUAAACCUAAACUGUCUGUUGGAAAAAAGUUAAUAUGAAUCUGGCUUCUGAGGU